GCAUAUCAAUAAGCGGAGGAAAAGAAACUAACAAGGAUUCCCCUAGUAACUGCGAGUGAAGCGGGAAAAGCUCAAAUUUAAAAUCUGGCGGUCUUCGGCCGUCCGAGUUGUAGUCUGGAGAAGUGCUUUCCGCGCUGGACCGUGUACAAGUCUCUUGGAACAGAGCGUCAUAGAGGGUGAGAAUCCCGUCUUUGACACGGACUACCAGUGCUUUGUGAUGCGCUCUCAAAGAGUCGAGUUGUUUGGGAAUGCAGCUCAAAAUGGGUGGUAAAUUCCAUCUAAAGCUAAAUAUUGGCGAGAGACCGAUAGCGAACAAGUACCGUGAGGGAAAGAUGAAAAGCACUUUGGAAAGAGAGUUAAACAGUACGUGAAAUUGCUGAAAGGGAAACGAUUGAAGUCAGUCGCGUUAGCCAGGACUCAGCCUUGUUUUUACUUGGUGCAUUUUCUGGUUGACGGGCCAGCAUCGAUUUUGACCGCCGGAAAAAGAUUGGGGGAAUGUGGCACCUUCGGGUGUGUUAUAGCCCUCAGUCACAUACGGCGAUUGGGAUCGAGGACCGCAGCACGCCUUUAUGGCCGGGGUUCGCCCACGUUCGUGCUUAGGAUGCUGGCGUAAUGGCUUUAAACGACCCGUCUUGAAACACGGACCAAGGAGUCUAACAUGCCUGCGAGUGUUUGGGUGGAAAACCCGAGCGCGUAAUGAAAGUGAAAGUUGAGAUCCCUGUCGCGGGGAGCAUCGACGCCCGGACUUGAACUUCGGUGAUAGAUCUGCGGUAGAGCAUGUAUGUUGGGACCCGAAAGAUGGUGAACUAUGCCUGAAUAGGGUGAAGCCAGAGGAAACUCUGGUGGAGGCUCGUAGCGAUUCUGACGUGCAAAUCGAUCGUCAAAUUUGGGUAUAGGGGCGAAAGACUAAUCGAACCAUCUAGUAGCUGGUUCCUGC
rnacentral:rRNA from 1 species